rnacentral:rRNA from 1 species
GUGGGGAAUUUUGCGCAAUGGGCGAAAGCCUGACGCAGCAACGCCGCGUGGGUGAAGAAGGCCUUUGGGUCGUAAAGCCCUUUUCUGGGGAAAGAGCAAAGACGGUACCCCAGGAACAAGCACCGGCUAACUCCGUGCCAGCAGCCGCGGUAAUACGGAGGGUGCAAGCGUUGUUCGGAAUUACUGGGCGUAAAGGGCGUGUAGGCGGAUUUGCAAGCUGGGGGUGAAAGGCCAGGGCUCAACCCGGGACCAUCUCCCAGAACUGCGUAUCUAGAGAGAGUCAGAGGCAGGUGGAAUUCCUGGUGUAGAGGUGAAAUUCGUAGAGAUCAGGAGGAACACCGGCGGCGAAGGCGACCUGCUGGGGCUUUUCUGACGCUGAGGCGCGAAAGCGUGGGGAGCAAACAGG